rnacentral:tRNA from 1 species
GGAGGUACAGCUGAGUGGUAGAGUAUGUACUUAGCAUGCACGAGGUCCUGGGUUCAAUCCCUAGUAACUUCU